rnacentral:rRNA from 1 species
CUACGGGGUGCUGCAGUGGGGAAUAUUGCACAAUGGGCGCAAGCCUGAUGCAGCCAUGCCGCGUGUAUGAAGAAGGCCUUCGGGUUGUAAAGUACUUUCAGCGGGGAGGAAGGGAGUAAAGUUAAUACCUUUGCUCAUUGACGUUACCCGCAGAAGAAGCACCGGCUAACUCCGUGCCAGCAGCCGCGGUAAUACGGAGGGUGCAAGCGUUAAUCGGAAUUACUGGGCGUAAAGCGCACGCAGGCGGUUUGUUAAGUCAGAUGUGAAAUCCCCGGGCUCAACCUGGGAACUGCAUCUGAUACUGGCAAGCUUGAGUCUCGUAGAGGGGGGUAGGAUUCGAGGUGUAGCGGUGAAAUGCGUAGAGAUCUGGAGGAAUACCGGUGGCGAAGGCGGCCCCCUGGACGAAGACUGACGCUCAGGUGCGAAAGCGUGGGGAGCAAACAGGAUUAGAUACCCUCGUAGUC